GAGACUUGCUGAAAAGCCAUCCUGGCUUUCCACUCGACUGCUUGCGUUUGAGGGCUUACUUCUGCCGAGCGGCUCCGCUGGAACGAGGAAAGCUGUUCUCCAUGCCUGGCGCUGUUUGCUGAACCUUCGCCCGCGGGGAAAUCCUUCCGGGAGAAAAAGCCAUCGCUGGAAAAAGGGC